CCUCACCCCGAGAACCGUGGAGCCCUAGACCGCGAGGGCGAGGGCCGAAGCGCUCCUCUUCCCGCGACGUCCAGAAGCCCCAGAGCUAACAGCCCUUCCAGGAGCUGCUGCGACCCACCUGGCUCCUCCUCUCCGAGGCAACUGUGCUGAGAUGGAAAACUCAUAACCUGAACCGGCGAGUCUGGAAUCCCUGAACUCAAGAGGCUGAGUCGGAAGGAUCAUCAUGAGUUUGAGGCCAGUAUACGCUAUAUAUAAACUGUUUCAAAAAUCCCAUAAAUAAAUGAAUGUUUUUGAAACAUUCAUAUCCCUAUGAUUUCUGUUGAAAUGUGAGAGACCUGUGUAGAUAGAUGCCCCUAGGGCUUCAUUUUUUACCUGUUGGGGCAAAUGAAGGAAUCAAGUCUGACCUGAAUGAGAUGAUUGCAAUACUCAGGCCUGACUGAAUUGGACAACCAAAUCUUAGGAGGAAUUUAGCAAACAUUGGUGGUGCUAAACAGGCUUUUCUUGCUCUCAAAGUGUUUUUCUUAACUCUUCGAUUAGGACUUGACCAAGACCUGACAGACAGGUCCUGAGCUCUGGUGACACAUAGACACCUGACUCCUUGGUAUCAGUUUAGGAGGUCCCUCACUUCCUGGGGAGCAGUAAAUAAGGCUUCUCCCUCUAUAAACAAGCUGCUUGGGUUAAGGAAAGCACCCUUAAGCACCUGUUACUGUUUCCAAACUUCCCUAGCCAUGCCCACAUCCAAACCUCUAAGCCUCAGAACCCUCACCACAAUACUGCAAAUAAACUGAUUUUAUUUAUUCCUAAUAGGCAGAUACUUAAUAUCCACUUCCUCCCAUCACUGACUAGUGUCACUUGUGUUCUGAUGUUCUGGACCUAGUAAUAUUUACCUUGUCUUUUUUCUGUUGAAGAAGCUGCCAAAUCCUUGGGAGGAGAAGGACACCGAGGGGGGGGCAUUUAAAAGUCUCCCUAAAAGAAACUACAAAGCUAACAGUCUCUGAGGGCACCCAGUGUUCACCAAGAAUGUCAGCACCUGAGGUACUCAGUCAGCCUGUGAGGUCCACCCAGAGCUCUCAUCAUCCUUAGUCUUCAGGCAUUCAUGAUUCAGUCUCAUAGUUUCUCUUGAGAAGUGAGUUGUUGAUCAGGUCCAGAGUCUUCGUGGGACUAUCCAGGAAAAGAUGACAAAAAUCUCUUCACAUGAUUGUCCAGGAAAAGCUUUUCUUGAGUCCCACUGUGAACACAAAGUUGUGCCCAUGAUCCUGCUGUGGUGUCUUCCCAGAAGAGUGGAGCUCAAGGGAGACUGGGAAUGGAAGAAGCAAGAAGUUCUGACAAUACCAAUUGUUUAGGUCUAGGAUCCAUUGAGGUAGCCUGGUGGAUAAAAGGAAGCCUAACAAUGUGAGUUAAUCCUCAGGACCCACAUGGUGGAAGGAGAGAACCAGCUCUCACGAGUUAUCCUCUUCACAUAAGCUCUGAAACAUGUGAAACAUGCGGAACACGUGCCCCUUCCCCCCACCGCUGCUGUCCCACCACCACACUAGUGCUACCCGAAGCCUUGGUCAGAGAAGCCUGUUCUUGCAGUGGUGUCAGAGACUGGUCAAAAUGCUGAGAGUCAGUGUCUGCUGAGUCAUCAGCCCUAAAGGAGGCACCCUCACCUCCAAGGCUCAGAGAACAUCAAAGAAUGGAAAGAAUGCAAACCAGCCUUCUGGACUCCACAGGGCCACUGUACUCACACCCCUCCACCCAGCACCAGUAACCUGUAAAAGACCAGUGCAAGAUUAGGCCUGUCAACGUUCCAACAUGGGGAGCGGAGGGACUUAUUCGACCCACCUCCUUUGAAGAGCUAGUCGUAGUUUAUGGUGUAAGAGAGAUGUUUUCUUCUGUGGAGUAGCCACUGGUAAACAGCCUGAUGAAUAAACCCUGUGCUCAUUCAUGCAACCCUAGUGGGACACACAUCAAAGUGAAGGGGCCCUAGUUAAGAAGAAGAAAGGAUUCGCUGAGGGAGGGGAGGGAUGAGAGAAGACAAUGAGAUCAAAUACAUUAUAGACAUCUAUGAAAUUAUCAGGAAUAAUCCUAAAAAGAAAUGCCUAUUCUUCCAGAAUGAGUCGAUCCUUUGUUUUAGCUUUUACAAGGAAUUAUAAAACCUCAGAUUUUAGCUGUGUGAUUUUUAAUGUCAACCUCAAAUAAAAAAAUUUGAGAAGACGUCAUUUCGGGACUAUUUGGGUUGGAAGUAAAAGAUGUGCCGUUAAAGGUGGCUCGGCCCCACCCAUAAUGUGCCAUUUAAGAUGUCUAGAAGCUCUGGGGGUGGCUGGUUCUUCUAGUGUCUUUCACGUUAUGGCCACAAGAUGGCGCCAACGCUCAAACUAUCACUUCAGAGAGCCGUGGCGAAGGAAGAAAAGCCAGCAAAGGGGCUUUCUCUUCGUUCCAAGUCUCCCUAAGUAGAAAGAAAAAUGGAGGCUCUUUGCAGAAUUCCUGGGCAACUUCAUCACAGGUCCCUUUUUAGGGACGGAGAGCGCCCUGCCUUUCUUACUGUGCAGCUGAGCUCUGGGUUUGCACUUCCGGAGCAAAUGGGGCUUUUAUUUACAUAUUUAACGUUUUUGUUUGUUGUUGUCUUAAUCAAGGAAGAUGUGGGAAAGAGCUAUUGGAUAGGCUAGGGAUAGUGCCUGCCAGAGGGGCUCAGGAGAAACCGCAAACGCCAGAUUCCCCGCCUCAUGUCAACGUGUGAGCCAAGGCCGAUUCAGAAAUGGUUUUUCUUCCUUUGAUAAUGACUUAUUCGCUGCAGUGACUUAGAAAAAUGAUUGAACUAAAUUCCCUGCCACCAGAGACUUGAUGUAUAUAGAGAUUAACAAUAAAACUAUUUUUAAAAGUCA